CGGAAGCCUCUGAAUGUUGUCGUGAUUCCAGCGCCAACCAAGGGGAAGGUAGCCUACUCAGGUCCCUGAGGACUCGGCAACGCAGUCUGCCGAAGAGUGCUGACGGUGGAGAUGAUGCCGGGAGCCUGUGUGACUCAUGCAGGUUUUACAAAGCACCACCAGUGUGAGGGGUGGAUCCUAAAUGGCUGCAGAAAAAGGAGCAACAAGCAAACCAUCUCCUGGUGGAGGUGAAAAGAAAGCGAUGGAUUAGAAGAACUGGUUUGAACAAAGAUGGAAACUUGUCUCCGGGAAAACGGUUUGCAUUAAAAGCGAAGGGGAUUUUCAUAAGAAGAUGAAUUACGCUUCAAAAAGAAAAUAAUUUCGCCCAGGGUUCCAUGCUGCCCAGGACUGGGCCUGACAACGACCUUUUUGGAGGUUGACGUCAUGAAAUGGGUGGCACCCACAAGCAGAGAAAGGCGGAGCCUCAAAGAUCGAAUCGUUUCACUUUAAGGUUUAUGUCCUUUCUCCCAGAGCGUGCACAACUUCAAGAAAAUACGAGCAAACGGCCAGAAAGGAGUCGAUGAGGAAAUUGUGUCUGUUUUCUGUGGACUAAAUGGAUUCUGGAAAAAAAAGAGCAAUAAACUGAUAAAUCACAGGCGGUGUAAAAGCGGUGGCACUUUCAGAUAAAACACUUCGAUAACCUCGCUCACACCGGAGGAGAAAACGGUAUUGACCACCGGGAUGGCAGUACCACAUUGCCAACAUUUAAGAACAGCUUCUGCGUGUUCAUAUUUUAUAAAAAAAUAUAUUUUUUGUUUAUAAAUAUUCUUAUAGCCAUCAGACCUUGAAAAAAAAUUGAGCGACAUUUCAAUUAAUUUUAUCCUAAUCUUAUGUUUAGAGAA